AGGCUCCCACGUUUAGUGCAGUUUGCCUCUACUGUCCAUCAUGAAAUGCGGCGAACAAAAUUCGUCCAUCUCUCUAAACAGUAGUGAAGGUGGAGCACAUGACGUGAAGAAAACACGACAGGUCAAUCAAAAUACUGUGGAUGGUGAUAUGACUGCGGACUGACCAUUAAAGAGAGAGACCUACUGAAUGUAAACAUUUGUCAGAUGAGAGGCAACCAUAUGAAAAUGAAAAUACCAACGUCGAUCUGCCAAACAUAGGUAUAGAAUGUCAUUUGAGCAUUAUUACUCGACAGCCAGAGCUAUAUACCCACGCAUGGGAAAACCUCCAUGUUACAACUUGGCGGAUCACCGAACAAUCUAAAAAUCCAAUGCAAGAGGAUAGUUCUUCAUGUGGUCUAUUCAUGCUUAAGUACAUGAAAUAUUGGACAGGAGAUACACUUUCUCGCUCUCUUACACAGGUGAAUUUUUUUUUUUAAGUGAACAAAAGAGUAUAACAUGUUAAAUUCGUGUUGUUUAGUUAGUAAAUGUAACUUUAUUACUGCACAAGGAGAUGUUGAACUUUUCAGGGAUAAGCUACCAGGCAUACUAUUAUGUUGGAAAACAAAUGAGGCUAGAGUGACGUCCAGUGGUGGUCAAGAUGACGAUACCAUAGAGAAUUCAGAUGAUGUCAUAAUGUUGGAUAGUAGAAUGGAAAUUCCCUCUCAUAUCAACAAUAGGGAAUCCAAAUUAUCUGACUCUGUAUCUACUGAAGAGAAAUAUUAUUCACUUCUGUCUGUUAUCACUAUGAUGGGUUUAAAUGAUUUGAUAGGUGGUAUUUCCAACUACAUCAAAGGACAGAGCUGUGUUAAAUUGUUGGAGUAAGUUAGUAUUUUUUAAGUAUGGGUAUACAUGAGUCUGCAUUGAUUAUUUUAAUAUUUUCUUAUUGAUUCCCAGGAAAGUAUGGGUACAAAAUUCGAAUCUGUAUUUUAUUAGCUUGAGUCUUACCAAGCUUCAAUUAGUAUUAAACGAGGAUAAACCAAUGGAUCGUGAUUGCUUCAACAUGUUCGUACGGAAGUUUAUGUAGGAUGACAUUCAGAUGAUGAAGAAAACCAAUGGAGUAAUAUCAAAGCAUUGUCUGGUCUUGCAAUUUUGGAAUAGUGUUGGAUUUGGUCGACACCCAAAAUUUCAUCAAAAUCUUGAUAUUGUUCAACUGGCAAAGACAGUUUGUAGUUGGUCCAAAACUGACUACAACAUUGCAAGAUGCAAAUCGGUAUGAUUGAUAUAUACUUUUCUCGUAUUUGUGUAUGUUUGUAUCUAUUUUAAUGGAUAACCUUUUGCAGAUUCUCAUACCAAUAGAAUAGUGUGGAACCUUUAUUCUUGUUAUAUUGGAUCAAAAUACAAGAAAACUCUAUAUACUAAAUCCUAAUCCUCUUAAUCCCAUUUACAAAAAUAACCCGAAUGUAAGAUAUGUCAAAAAAAUUAUUAUGCCUUGCCGAGCACUUCAGAAAAGCCAUGCGCAUAGAAUGUCCUAGAUCUAUAUGGGUUGAAGAUAUAAACCUUUGGAGUCAAAUAAAUGUUCCAAAUGUGCCAAUUCACAGCAGGUAUGUUUUAUUCCAAAAUUUCACAUGUGAACCGCGCAAUUUAUUUUUUUUAUAAAUCAACAGUAAGUAACUAUUGAAUCUUAUCAGUGAACUAUCUGGUUAUCUUGUUCUUCUUUUUAUGCGUGCAUGCAGAAAUGAUGAACUACAAUUGUUUGCUUUCAAGGAUGGCUAUGAGCUGAGGAGACAUUCAUUGAUACAUCUAUUGACAUGUCAAGAGAAUAAGUGUGAAAGCAACAUAGCUAUUGCCGCACGUGAUAUCAUUAAGUGUAUUAUUAAUGCUAAAUGAUAGAUUUAGCUAAAUUGUUACAUUGUAUUAGCCAUGGUGUUACCGAAUGGUUAUGUUUUGACUUUCUUUAUGCUAGCAACAUGACAGU